UGGUGUCAAGACUCAACUUCUUUGCAUGA
rnacentral:piRNA from 1 species